rnacentral:rRNA from 1 species
AGAUUGAACGCUGGCGGCGUGCCUAACACAUGCAAGUCGAGCGGUAACAGGUGUAGCAAUACAUGCUGACGAGCGGCGAACGGGUGAGUAAUGCUUUGGAAUCUUCCCAGUAGUGGGGAAUAACCAGUCGAAAGAUUGGCUAAUACCGCAUACGUCUGUAAAGGGAAAGCGGGGGCUCGUAAGACCUCGCGCUAUUGGAUGAGCCAAAGUCGGAUUAGCUAGUUGGUGGGGUAAUGGCCUACCAAGGCGACAAUCCGUAGCUGGUCUGAGAGGACGACCAGCCACACCGGAACUGAGACACGGUCCGGACUCCUACGGGAGGCAGCAGUGGGGAAUAUUGGACAAUGGGGGAAACCCUGAUCCAGCGACGCCGCGUGUGUGAAGAAGGCCUGCGGGUUGUAAAGCACUUUUAGUGGGGACAAAAGCUACGGAUUAAUACUCUGUGGUCUUGAUUUAACCCAAGAAAAGCACCGGCUAACUCUGCGCAGCAGCCGCGGUAA